CGCGCAGGUGGUUGAUUAAGUCUGAUGUGAAAGCCCACGGCUUAACCGUGGAGGGUCAUUGGAAACUGGUCGACUUGAGUGCAGAAGAGGGAAGUGGAAUUCCAUGUGUAGCGGUGAAAUGCGUAGAGAUAUGGAGGAACACCAGUGGCGAAGGCGGCUUCCUGGUCUGUAACUGACACUGAGGCGCGAAAGCGUGGGGAGCAAACAGGAUUAGAUACCCCCGUA
rnacentral:rRNA from 1 species